rnacentral:rRNA from 1 species
UACAGAGGUCCCAAGCGUUGUUCGGAUUCACUGGGCGUAAAGGGCGCGUAGGCGGGGCGGUAAGUCGGGUGUGAAAUCCCUCGGCCCAACUGAGGAACUGCGCCCGAGACUGCUUCUCUUGAGUCCCGGAGAGGAAGAUGGAAUUCCCGGUGUAGCGGUGAAAUGUGUAGAGCUCGGGAGGAACACCGGUGGCGAAGGCGGUCUUCUGGACGGUGACUGACGCUGAGGCGCGAAAGCGUGGGGAGCAAACGGG